AACGUAGGUCACAAGCGUUGUCCGGAAUUACUGGGUGCAAAGGGAGCGCAGGCGGGAAGACAAGUUGGAAGUGAAAUCCAUGGGCUCAACCCAUGAACUGCUUUCAAAACUGUUUUUCUUGAGUAGUGCAGAGGUAGGCGGAAUUCCCGGUGUAGCGGUGGAAUGCGUAGAUAUCGGGAGGAACACCAGUGGCGAAGGCGGCCUACUGGGCACCAACUGACGCUGAGGCUCGAAAGUGUGGGUAGCAAACAGG
rnacentral:rRNA from 1 species